rnacentral:rRNA from 1 species
GAUGAACGCUAGCUACAGGCUUAACACAUGCAAGUCGAGCGGGGUGGAGGCGAGAGGUAACUCAAGCUUCUACCUAGCGGCGGACGGGUGAGUAACGCGUGGGCAACCUGCCUCAAGGAUCGGGAUAACAGCUCGAAAGGGCUGCUAAUACCGGAUAUGCCUAUGGCCUCGCAUGGGGCUGUGGGCAAAGGGGAAACCCGCCUUGAGAUGGGCCCGCGUCCCAUCAGCUAGUUGGUGAGGUGAAGGCUCACCAAGGCGACGAUCAGUAGCCGACCUGAGAGGGUGACCGGCCACACUGGAACUGAGACACGGUCCAGACUCCUACGGGAGGCAGCAGUGGGGAAUAUUGCGCAAUGGGGGAACCCUGACGCAGCAACGCCGCGUGGAGGAAGAAGGUCUUCGGAUUGUAAACUCCUGUCUUCUGGGACGAAUAAUGACGGUACCAGAGGAGGAAGCCACGGCUAACUACGUGCCAGCAGCCGCGGUAAGAGUCACG